UCAUAUGCUUGUCUCAAAGAUUAAGCCAUGCAUGUCUAAGUGCAAGCUGAAUUAAAGUGAAACCGCGAAUGGCUCAUUAAAUCAGUCAUGGUUCCUUGGAUAGAAAAGAAAGACUUGGAUAACUGUGGUAAUUCUAGAGCUAAUACAUGCACCUCAUGCUCCGACCUGACGGGAAGAGCGCUUUUAUUAGUUCAAAAUCAAUCGGUGUCCUCCUCGCAAGAGGGGGCGCCGUCCUUCUGGUGACACUGGAUAACUUUGAGCGGAUCGCACGGUCUCGCACCGGCGACGAGUCUUUCAAACGUCUGCUCUAUCAACUGGCGAUGGUAGUCACUACGCCUACCAUGGUCAUCACGGGUGACGGGGAAUCAGGGUUCGAUUCCGGAGAGGGAGCCUGAGAAACGGCUACCACAUCCAAGGAAGGCAGCAGGCGCGCAAAUUACCCACUCCCGGCACGGGGAGGUAGUGACGAAAAAUAACAAUACGGGACUCAUCCGAGGCCCCGUAAUUGGAAUGAGGGCACUUUAAAUCCUUGAACGAGUAUCGAUUGGAGGGCAAGUCUGGUGCCAGCAGCCGCGGUAAUUCCAGCUCCAAUAGCGUAUAUUAAAGUUGUUGCGGUUAAAAAGCUCGUAGUUGGCUUUGUGUCGCGGACGGUCGGUUCACUUGCCGGUGUACACUGACCGGUCCGGACGUCCUGCCGGCGCGUCCCUCGGUGCUCUUCAUUGAGUGUCUUGGGUUGCCCGGCACGUUUACUUUGACCAAACUAGAGUGCUCAAAGCAGGCCAAACCCUACGCCUGAAUAACGGUGCAUGGAAUAAUGGAAGAGGACCUCGGUUCUAUUUUGUUGGUUUUCGGAACCCGAGGUAAUGAUUAAGAGGUACGGACGGGGGCAUCCGUAUUGCGACGUUAGAGGUGAAAUUCUUGGAUCGUCGCAAGACGAGCGAAAGCGAAAGCAUUUGCCAAGAACGCUUUCAUUAAUCAAGAACGAAAGUUAGAGGUUCGAAGGCGAUCAGAUACCGCCCUAGUUCUAACCAUAAACGAUGCCAGCCAGCGAUCCGCCGCAGUCCAUUGGAUGACUCGGCGGGCAGCUUCCGGGAAACCAAAGCUUUUGGGUUCCGGGGGAAGUAUGGUUGCAAAGCUGAAACUUAAAGGAAUUGACGGAAGGGCACCACCAGGAGUGGAGCCUGCGGCUUAAUUUGACUCAACACGGGAAACCUCACCAGGCCCGGACACUGGAAGGAUUGACAGAUUGAGAGCUCUCUCUUGAUUCAGUGGGUGGUGGUGCAUGGCCGUUCUUAGUUGGUGGAGUGAUUUGUCAGGUUAAUUCCGAUAACGAACGAGACUCUGGCCUAUUAACUAGAAGUCGGACCUCGCAUCGCGAGUCCGCCUCUCUUCUUAGAGGGACAGGCGACGUCUAGUCGCACGAGAAGGAGCAAUAACAGGUCUGUGAUGCCCUUAGAUGUCCUGGGCCGCACGCGCGCUACACUGAGGGAGUCAGCGUGUGUUCACCCUUUCCGAGAGGACCGGGUAACCAGCUGAAACUCGCUCGUGAUAGGGAUUGGGGAUUGCAAUUGUUUCCCAUGAACGAGGAAUUCCCAGUAAGUGCGAGUCAUGAGCUUGCGUUGAUUACGUCCCUGCCCUUUGUACACACCGCCCGUCGCUACUACCGAUUGAAUGAUUUAGUGAGGCCUUCGGACUGGCGCUCUGCUUCGGAUUUCGGUCCGGAGCGGUCGUGCCGGGAAGAUGGCCGAACUUGAUCAUUUAGAGGAAGUAAAAGUCGUAACAAGGUUUCC
rnacentral:rRNA from 1 species